rnacentral:rRNA from 1 species
UACGAAGGGGGCUAGCGUUGUUCGGAUUUACUGGGCGUAAAGCGCACGUAGGCGGAUCGAUCAGUCAGGGGUGAAAUCCCAGGGCUCAACCCUGGAACUGCCUUUGAUACUGUCGAUCUGGAGUAUGGAAGAGGUGAGUGGAAUUCCGAGUGCAGAGGUGAAAUUCGUAGAUAUUCGGAGGAACACCAGUGGCGAAGGCGGCUCACUGGUCCAUUACUGACGCUGAGGUGCGAAAGCGUGGGGAGCAAACAGG